AAUUCAUGAAGCAGCAAACCCAGCAGAUCUCCAGCCCUCUGCCUCAGGACCUCUGUUGAAGAGGGGGAUGAAGUGGGUCUCCAGGGAGGCAGCGGGGGCCUUGUUGGCAGCUGGCUCAGGAGCCGGCUUACAGGAGGGCAGCUCUGCAGUUGGAGGGGCACCAUCCAGAGGAGACCAGGCCUCUGUGCACCCCCCACUCUACCUAUCAUCCCUGCUCACACCCUCUUGGCCAAGGCUUUGUGCAUCGGAUUUAUUUUUCCAAAUGAAGAGGACAGAGCGAUAGAUGCAUUUUCCUCAGGCUGUCUCAGAAAGGUCACUAAAUGUAUACUGUUAGAAUUGCUGAGAUCUCCCCCCACUUUUGUUUUUUGCAGUAGCAAAAACUCUUUCCACUGCGACUUCUUUUAUCUAUCUCAGGCAACCAGCCACCUGGUCCCUUGUGCUGACUCUAGCACAGUGGCCAGGAUCCGAUACGAGUCCUGGGGUGGUGGGGGCACCUUCAGCACAUCCGUGUGCACAGCUGGAAGGGUGCAUGGCCCGCCCACUUUUGUCCAGACGGGUGGAAAUGCUGAUGAUCCCAGCUCCUCCCUGCCGUGCCCCUGCCACGGAGCAGGCAUUGUGAACUGGCUGGUGUUUGCAGUCCCACGUGGUGUGGUCUCCAGCCCAACCCAUGGUGGAGACUGGAGACAGGGCAAUGAGUCCUGGUGGGAGGCACAUGGAUAUGCCCCAUAGGGGCCCCACCCAGGCUUAUAGGCAAGGUCCUGGGCACUGCGUGACGUAGGACUCAAUGCUGAAGCAAGCCUGCCUGGCUCUGUGCCAGGGCCCCCUUCUGAUUCACACAUCCCAUUUUUACACAGACCCUUCUUAAUAAAGGCUGACAGUUCUGUUGGCAGCCAAGAACCCACACCAUGAAGACAGGGAGUGAGGGGCCUUUGUGCCCAACCCCAGCACAGCUGCGUUCUGGGGUGUGUGAGAGGCAUGUUCGUGUCUGUGCGCUGGUGGUCUCGUGAGACAGUUCCGAGGACGGGGAAAUUGCUGGGUGGUGGGGGCAUGAGGCUUGUAUGUGGAACUGAUGCAGAGUUCGCCUGCAGAGGGAUCUGGAUAUAUGUUACGUAUAACUGUUACGUGUCAUUUAAAAUAUAUCUGUUUGCCAUCGUCAUGAGAAGAUUAUAUGUAAGGCUCUGAAGGGAGAGGGAGAUGUAUAUUCUGCCAGGCUCCUGUGGACUUUGAGUCAUGAAAUUGAUUACUGUUGAUCCAGCGGUGCAGGAAGCUACACUCCAUGUGUCAUCACGCUUAUGACUCCUAAUGGAUUUUUAAGGCAAAAAAUGUCAGCCGACUCCAUCUUCACCCCUCGAUUCCUCGAGUCCAGCCUUUCUGUGCCAGUGCUUCACUGAGCCACAACGCUCUCGCCAUUGGGACCCAGUUGGGCCUGGAAUCUCGGGGCACAGUUACCAUGGAGCCCUCCUGGGUCAUUCUACAAAUGUGCUGAGUGCCAGCUGAAAACCCCACAGGAGAUGGAGUACCUUGGCCAAGCUUAAAGAGAAGAUUUUCUCAGGGUAUCUAUUAGUAUGUCCAGCAGGGUCAGGAAGCAGGAUGGAAAGAUGCAUUCAGACUGUUAAUUUAUUAACAAGGCAAAUCAUUUUGUGUUUCUUGAUGACCGACUAUUAAGUUUGGGACUUAUUUUCCCAUUUGAGAAGUUAUAAUAUAUAUUUAAGAUAAGUUUCCUGCUUAAGUUGUGCCUUUCAGCUUCAACGAGUUUAAGGAGCACUAAGGGUAAUGAUACCAAUGAGGGUUGGUUUAUUAUCAAACCUGAAUAGCUGUGGUUUCUCCAGUAAAUAUUUUCUUCUACUGAACAUGGAGCCAUUAUUAAGAGUUGUGUGUUUUUUAUUAUGUACAUUUGUAUAUUUUUUUGCUUGUUUGAUGUUCUAUUUUUCUAAUAGUUUUCUUAUAGUUUCUUAAGGUUGUGAUACUAGAUUUAGAUUCCGAUGCUAACUGCAAAUCAGGUUGGUCUCUGCUGGGUCUCUCCUGCUUUUAUUUUACUUUAAGGACAAGUGUAGUUGUCGUCCACCACCUUUCAAAAAAUGUGAAACUGUCCUGCCUCCCCUUUUUGCUAACAACACUGUGUACAUUGACAACUUCCUACCAUACUUUAUGUUGUAAAAUCAAACUAUUUCGUGGUACAUUAUCUCAUGCUUCUGCAAAUUCUAAUAAAUUCUAUGGCUUCCAU